rnacentral:snoRNA from 1 species
AUAGCUGUGAUGAAAUUGCUAUAACGUAAGAAGAGUCAUCGUGAUCAGUUGAUUCUUCAAUGAAAUAUAUUACGCUUGGCUUCUGAGUUUU